AGUGAACGCUGGCGGUAGGCCUAACACAUGCAAGUCGAACGGCAGCACAGUAAGAGCUUGCUCUUACGGGUGGCGAGUGGCGGACGGGUGAGGAAUACAUCGGAAUCUACUUUUUCGUGGGGGAUAACGUAGGGAAACUUACGCUAAUACCGCAUACGACCUACGGGUGAAAGCAGGGGAUCUUCGGACCUUGCGCGAUUGAAUGAGCCGAUGUCGGAUUAGCUAGUUGGCGGGGUAAAGGCCCACCAAGGCGACGAUCCGUAGCUGGUCUGAGAGGAUGAUCAGCCACACUGGAACUGAGACACGGUCCAGACUCCUACGGGAGGCAGCAGUGGGGAAUAUUGGACAAUGGGCGCAAGCCUAAUCCAGCCAUACCGCGUGGGUGAAGAAGGCCUUCGGGUUGUAAAGCCCUUUUGCUGGGAAAGAAAAGCAGCAGGUUAAUACCCCGCUGUUCUGACGGUACCCAAAGAAUAAGCACCGGCUAACUUCGUG
rnacentral:rRNA from 1 species